rnacentral:rRNA from 1 species
AUGAAGGGCACACGUGGAGGUGGAGUGCGAAGCAGAAAGGCACAGCACCAUUUCCUCGCCUCGCCUCGGUCGGGGCGCGUGUGCGUGUGCGUGUGCGUGGCGUCUCCUCCUCUCUCUUACUUCCUCCUCCCAUCCCCAUCUCUCCUCCUCCUCCUCAAUUCGGAGGAAGCGAGGGCUCGCGCCCGAUCGGGUUGGUGGCUCGCCGCGAUGGCGACCGACGCCGGCGCCGCCGACAGGAGCUCCGUCUUCCGCAAGCUCCGCGCCAAAUCCGACAAUAAGAUGUGCUUCGACUGCAACGCCAAGAACCCCACCUGGGCCUCCGUUACCUACGGCGUCUUCCUCUGCAUCGACUGCUCCGCCGUCCACCGCAGCCUCGGCGUCCACGUCUCCUUCGUCAGGUCAACAAAUUUGGAUUCAUGGACCCCAGAACAGUUGAAAAUGAUGGUUUAUGGGGGAAACAACCGUGCACAAGCUUUCUUUAAGCAGCAUGGUUGGACUGAUGGUGGAAAGAUCGAGGCAAAGUACACUUCAAGAGCUGCUGACUUAUACAGACAGUUGCUCCUCAAAGAGGUUUCUAAAAGUUCGACAGAAGAUGGCAAUAAUAGUGGGCCGCCCUCCCCAGUCGCAGCUUCUCAGACUUCAAGCCAAGCAGCUGCAUUUCCUGAUUUCAAACUGGUAGAGGUGCCGAAAGAAGUUGUGAAUGAGCCUGAGUCUGAAAUUAUUCGUUCACCUAAAGCUCCUACCCAUUCAUUCAAGAAGCCAAUCGGUGGAAAGAAGCCUGGAAGUAAGACUGGUGGACUUGGUGCGCGCAAGCUUACGACAAAGCCAAGUGAAAGCCUCUAUGAGCAGAAACCUGAAGAGCCAGCUCCUGCCCUGCCAUCGGUGGCUGAAAGCACUACAGCUAGGAGCAAAUCUCAUACUUCCCGAUUUGAAUAUGUGGAAAAUGUACCUUCUGCUGGGAGCAGCUCUGCGGAAAACCAGGCAUUUGGGCAUGUUGCGCCCCCAAAGUCUUCAAACUUUUUCGGUGAAUAUGGGAUGGACAGUGGAUAUCACAAGAAAUCUACUUCUGGUGCAUCCAAAAUGCAGGUUGAGGAAAGUAGUGAAGCAAGACAGAAGUUCUCAAAUGCAAAGUCUAUUUCAUCUUCUCAGUUUUUCGGUGAUCAAGCCAAUUUAGAAAAAGAGGGCCAAAUCUCCCUCCAAAAAUUCUCUGGGUCCUCUGCCAUUUCAAGUGCUGAUCUGUUUGGCCAACAAGCGAACAAUUCUAAUGCGGAUCUGAGUGCUUCGGAUUUGAUCAACAGAAUCUCCUUCCAGGCCACUCAGGACUUGACCUCUCUCAAGAGCAUGGCUGGGCAGACUGGGAAGAAGCUGACAUCUAUGGCGUCCAACAUCAUAUCUGAUCUUGAUCGGAUCCUCUGA